rnacentral:rRNA from 1 species
UACGAAGGGGGCUAGCGUUGCUCGGAAUUACUGGGCGUAAAGCGCACGUAGGCGGCUUUCUAAGUCGGGGGUGAAAUCCUGGAGCUCAACUCCAGAACUGCCUUCGAUACUGGAAAGCUCGAGUCCGGGAGAGGUGAGUGGAACUGCGAGUGUAGAGGUGAAAUUCGUAGAUAUUCGCAAGAACACCAGUGGCGAAGGCGGCUCACUGGCCCGGUACUGACGCUGAGGUGCGAAAGCGUGGGGAGCAAACAGGAUUGAGAAAC